ensembl:lncRNA
UUCCAGCACACAUGUGGUUAAAUCCCAGGUCUUUUGACAGCUGGCCAGUGGAGCGCAUGCGCCGAAAACGUUAGUGACUUGAAUAGGAGGGAACAUAGCAACCACCAAAUAACCUCGAGAGCGCUGCACAUCAUCUACCCAAAAAAUUAUGUCCAUCUCACCGUCUUCACUUUUUCGAAGGUCUCCGUUUUAUGGACCUUGAAUGGCGCUGGUCACCGUUCAGCGUUCGCCAACACCCAGCACUACCUCCAGCCCCUGCGUGUCGGUUAUGUAGGUGAAAGGAGCAGACAGCGCCAGUCUCAAGGGUUGCCAGCUGAUUGUCACGUGACCCAUGCGAGACACCCAUGUGAGUGCUCUUGUGAAAAGCCUGAAGCUUUCUACAGUGUGAGACUCCUCAGCCCCAUUCUACUGGCAGGCACAUCAAGACUCCAACCAGGAAACAGGCAGCGGCGAGGAGGACCGACACUCCCAGCCCCGGAGAACAAUCUGACGUCAAGUGAACGGACGUUUUCUUUAACCUGCAGCAAAAGUUUAUUUUUUAGACACUUUUGGUCUAGCCUUUUUCAGUGAUGUUUUGUCCUAUAAAUCAGGAAUUCCUGACAUAAUUAUACAUUGUUUA